rnacentral:rRNA from 1 species
ACGAACGCUGGCGGCGUGCUUAACACAUGCAAGUCGAACGGAAAGGCCCUGCUUUUGUGGGGUGCUCGAGUGGCGAACGGGUGAGUAACACGUGAGUAACCUGCCCUUGACUUUGGGAUAACUUCAGGAAACUGGGGCUAAUACCGGAAAGGAGCUCCUCCUGCUGGGGGGGGGUGGGAAGGUUUCGGCGGUUGGGGAUGGACUCGCGGCUUAUCAGCUUGUUGGUGGGGUAGUGGCUUACCAAGGCUUUGACGGGUAGCCGGCCUGAGAGGGUGACCGGCCACAUUGGGACUGAGAUACGGCCCAGACUCCUACGGGAGGCAGCAGUGGGGAAUAUUGCACAAUGGGCGGAAGCCUGAUGCAGCAACGCCGCGUGCGGGAUGACGGCCUUCGGGUUGUAAACCGCUUUCGCCUGUGACGAAGCGUGAGUGACGGUAAUGGGUAAAGAAGCACCGGCUAACUACGUG